UGAGGAAUAUUGGUCAAUGGACGCAAGUCUGAACCAGCCAAGUAGCGUGCAGGAUGACGGCCCUAUGGGUUGUAAACUGCUUUUAUAUGGGGAUAAAGUGGGGAACGUGUUCCCUUUUGCAGGUACCAUAUGGAUAAGGACCGGCUAAUUCCGUGCCAGCAGCCGCGGUAAUACGUAAGGUCCGAGCGUUGUCCGGAAUUAUUGGGCGUAAAGGGUACGUAGGCGGUCUAUUAAGUCAGGUGUGAAAGCGUGAGGCUUAACCUCAUUAAGCACUUGAAAGUGAUAGACUUGAGUGAAGGAGAAGAAAGUGGAAUUCCUAGUGUAGCGGUGAAAUGCGUAGAUAUUAGUAGGAAUACCGGUGGCGAAGGAGACUUUCUGGACUUUUACUGACGCUCAGGUACGAAAGCGUGGGGAGCAAACAGG
rnacentral:rRNA from 1 species